rnacentral:lncRNA from 1 species
ACAAUUACAAGAUAACUCAUAUUAUAUACAGAAGCGUUUAAUCAAAAUUUAACACCAACGGAAACCACAACCACGAAAUUACGCUUUAGUCUUCAGUUACUGUGAACAUGCACUAGCAAAAUAGUGAUAAACGCGCUUACGGUAAGUGAAUCGUUAAUACAACUUAAUUCAUAAUUAUAAGUUAAGUUUACCUGCGUCCGUUCCACUUUCGGGCAUCGUUAUUGCUACAUUGCUGGCCUGCAUGUGUUUUUCUGCAGAGAGUUUCCCGGUUUCCGUUUACAUCGGCUGUUAACAAGGAUCUUCCUUUCCUUGUAUGAACAAAUGCCCCUGCUGGAGCAUACACUCUGCGCAGCAUUCUGUUGGGAACGUUAGAAUGACUGUGCGUGGUGUCUCUUCCUUGUUUGUCUGGUUUUUUUUCUAGGAGAAUGUUGCAAUCUGAGGUUACAGCGAAAUAGACUCGGUUGAAUUGUUCGUUUGCCUGUUUGCGUUCGCUGACAUUAUGUAAAAGUGUAGACUACCGCGAGCGAUCGAAGAGGGUUGGUCCGUGCACUGCUGUUUUCUCCAAAAGUGCAAUGUAAACAUAGCACGAAAUAAAACUCUACGCAGCUUUUAACAAAACAAGCUAAAAAGCAAAAAGCGACGGAAACGAUAAAAAAACUAUCGACGCUAACGGCAAAAACGAAAUGUUGCGACAAAUAUAACAAGCGAACGCAAGGCCGGCAAGGGGAUAGAGCAAAAUAAAUUCGCUUCGGGGCCUUAACAGCCGCGUUUUUUGAGCUUUCUAAAGCUUGACAGUGGCCAACGGCGAGUGUACACGUUAUAGCCCUUCGUCGGUCUCGAGUUAACUCAGGUCUUCAGGUUACCGAGUAAUCGAUCAACGGCACCUGUGUUCGCCGCAACGACGAAGCUUUAGUAAUAACCCGACCUCAGCGAGGUCGACUGGAAACUGUCUCAUCGUCGAGAAGCGGUGCAUCGUUAAUGUUGCAGCAGUUUCGCCGACUCCUCACACUGCUGCUGCUCCUAAGGGCCUUGGGAUCAGGGGCUUCGUAAGGAACUGUCAUCGAGGGAAAAGAUUACACACUACUACGGCGACUAUUAGGAAGACAUGAGGCCCAAGAUGAAUUGUCAAAGGGUUACGUUGCGCUGACAUUUAUCUGCGUCAGUACGUGAGAAUAAGUUAUCCCAAAGCUGCCUCCUAUCUUUCUGAUGGAAACCAAACGCAACAAACUAAUGCAUAGCAAUAAUAGCCUCAAUGGUCGGAACUUGGAUUGCUACCGGAAGACUGCUCACUUUUACUUAGACUAUGCCGUACGCAAUAACAAAAACGAUGUACAGGCGGCAUGAGUGCACCGCUCUCGGACCUUGCAAACGUAUAUCCGCGUGCAACGAAGUGGCUAGCAUUUGCAUAACUUAUUCAUAAAAAGCCCAUAAUUCGACUGCGCUGAUACGUUUCACGCGGGUGUUGGCUGUGACCAUCCAGCGUCGUCUGGCGUCAUCGUCGUGUGUGCGUUUUGGUCGAUUCGGCGUGAUGGAAAGCGGAGGUCGUUGUUAUUUUUCUGGCAGCCUUAGGGCCUUCGUCGCUGAAGCGGAUGCAAAAAAAAGCAGAGGAAGUUUGAGGAGUUAAAAGCCGCACCCCCAGCGAAGGCGGCAGCAACGGUACUGAGCACAGGCGUUGUAGAAGAAACGUCUUUGCUAAUCCAGGUAAGAGGUUGCAACUGCCCUUACUCUUUAACUCCUUCCGUACAUGUUUCCCCGUCGAAUAAACCCUUUGAGGGAACGGCUCUAGUAAAGGCAGAAAGAAGCAGACGAAGCGGUGAAGGCGACUUCGCCGCCGCUAAGCGCCGAGCACCAGACAUUGAGUGCUGUCGAGUUCGGAGGUCCGGGAUGGAGUGCAGCCUCGUACAAGUCCCUAAAGGCCAGAAGAAAACUUUUUCUAUAGGGUGACAGCACAGUGCCCCCUUCACCAUUACCGCCAACACUACGAACAGGCUACUGAGUUACUUUGGGUCGGCAUUUCCCUUGGCGGGCACUCCCAACAUAUCCUAAGACGGCCUUUGACUAAGAGUCACUCAAGAUUCUGUCUGACCUGAACCACAUAUCUGGCUGGAUGGGGAUUUCGUUGUCGGGGUGUGGCACCAAUAGCGAGUGAUGUACUGCAAUUUUUCUGCUGUACAACAGUUAGUCAAUAUCAAAACACCUGACUUUUUAAGAAGUGGGCCUAAUCGCGAAAAUUUGAAAACACU